rnacentral:lncRNA from 1 species
CAGAUAGUUGGUCAAACACCAGUCUAGCUAUCACUGUGAAGGUACUUUUAAGAUGAGAUUAACAUUUCAAUCAGAACUUUAAUUAACUAAAGCAGAUUACCCUUCAUAGUAUGGUGGGCCUCAUCUAAUCAGUUGAAGUCCUUAAGAGAAAAAGGUUGUGAUCCUCCAAGAAAGAAAGAAUUCUGCCUCCAGACUGCCUUUGGAUUCCAGCUGCAAUAUCAACUCUUCUCUGGGUCUCCAGCCUGCCAGUCUGCCAUGCAAAUUUCAGACUUGCCAACUUCUACAAUCAGACCAGGGUUGGUCACCAUUUGUCUCUGUGACCAAUAGAAUAUGACAGAAGUGAUGGUGUAUCCCUUCUGAGAUUGGAUUAUAAAGGACUGCAGCUUCCAUCUAGGGCUGGAUCCUCUUGUAUCACUCAUAUCACAAGGAAGGCGUAUCAUGAGCAGGCCUAUGGAGAGGCUCAUCAGUUUUAAACUCAAGCAGGAAAGAAGAACGUUAUUUAUAGAAUCCCUCAACUUAUGACCUCAACAUCUGUGAGCAUACUGAAGAAAGUUUGCAAGAAUAUACAACAAGAUGUGUAAUAGAAGUUGUCUCUGCACACAGAGGCCUCUCUUAUGGAACCAGACCCUCAAUUCAGCUUCAGUUUCUCCAGCGCUUAAUCCUUUCCUACUGACAUUACCAACACCUUGACUGAAACCCAGAGUCUGAUCAUUAAAACAGACCAGCCCCAGCAUCCAGGCCCUGGGAAGCAGCAGGCUGCCAGAGAGCCAGGGAAAUCCAACAGCUUCGAGAACAGAGCCCAGGAGAUCACAUUACAGUUGGGCAUCUGUGUCCUGAGUACUUUAGGCUUAACUCAAUCAGAAAGAAAUCAUUAACUUCUUUAUCUAGAAAUAAAACAUUGUUCCGAAAUGG